AUGUUGGUUUUGGAGCAUUUGGUUCACUGUGUCCCAUUGUCUACAAAAGUCCCCCUUGCUAUCACCCAACCACUUCUUCAACGCGGCAUAAUUAGUUGUUGUGUUACCCAAAUAUCUAACUCGAUCAGUCCAAGCACAUACAACUUUCUCUUUCACCUAAUCAAGUAUAAUAGACUCAACGUAUUUCAAAAAAUUGAGAUAUCUAACACAAAAGUUUCAGAAUUGUACCACAUUCUCUGUAUAUAA